UACAGAGGGGGCAAGCGUUGUUCGGAAUUACUGGGCGUAAAGGGCGCGUAGGCGGCCUGUUAAGUCGAACGUGAAAUCCCCGGGCUCAACCCGGGAACUGCGUCCGAUACUGGCAGGCUUGAAUUCGGGAGAGGGAUGUGGAAUUCCAGGUGUAGCGGUGAAAUGCGUGGAUAUCUGGAGGAACACCGGUGGCGAAGGCGGCAUCCUGGACCGAGAUUGACGCUGAUGCGCGAAAGCCAGGGGAGCAAACGGG
rnacentral:rRNA from 1 species